AGGAACGCGAAGAACCUUACCUAAGCUUGACAUCCCACUGACCUCUCCCUAAUCGGAGAUUUCCCUUCGGGGACAGUGGUGACAGGUGGUGCAUGGUUGUCGUCAGCUCGUGUCGUGAGAUGUUGGGUUAAGUCCCGCAACGAGCGCAACCCUUGCCUUUAGUUGCCAGCAUUAAGUUGGGCACUCUAGAGGGACUGCCGAGGAUAACUCGGAGGAAGGUGGGGAUGACGUCAAAUCAUCAUGCCCCUUAUGCUUAGGGCUACACACGUGCUACAAUGGGUGGUACAGAGGGUUGCCAAGCCGCGAGGUGGAGCUAAUCCCUUAAAGCCAUUCUCAGUUCGGAUUGUAGGCUGAAACUCGCCUACAUGAAGCUGGAGUUACUAGUAAUCGCAGAUCAGAAUGCUGCGGUGAAUGCGUUCCCGGGCCUUGUACACACCGCCU
rnacentral:rRNA from 1 species